ensembl:lncRNA
AUUUCUUCAAUUUCCUCUAGAGGUAAGUUAUUUGGAGGACUAGAACAGUAGCCAUAUACAUUACAUAACACAAAUAAUCUAUCCAUGUGGUUGAUUACCGCUACAAGCAAAUGUCCAUUGAAAUAAAUAAAAAUUUCCCAUUGAAAUUGUGUGCUAAAAUUGCAACCCCAGCUGAAUGAUUAGUCCGUGGGCCAAAAAAAUGACAUUGCCCCACUGAUUUUUCCAAUAAUUACAGUCCUCUUUGCAUGAAUGUGUCUCUUGAACGAAUACAAGAUCUGCCUUGCAAUCCUUACAACAACAACAAAAAGAUUCUCUUCAACAGGUUUCGUAUCCCCCUGGUAUUGAUUGACAUAAACUUCAAGUCCAUAUCUACAGAAUACAAAGAAAAAUCCUAUGCUAUCUCAACUCUACCCUCUCUAUAAAAAGUUGCUUCAUAUGUAUUAACAAAAGUCUUAACUUGUGAACAGUAACACCAUAAUUCAAAACUAGAACGUUCAGUUUGCAGUGGGGAAGGAGCUACCUGGUAAACCUACCGACAGAACAAAUCACCCCGGUCGUAUAUCUUUUCUGUCUGCGAAAAAGGCUCUGAUUCCCCUGUAGUAUCCACCCUUUCCUUGAUUUCGGACCUGUUGUACAAGAGGCCACAAUUUUGCCUUUGCUGCCUUGUCUGCUGCAGUCAAGUCCUCACCGGAUCUACAUUUUCGCUCUUUCUGAAAGACUGGAAAAACACCAGGAAAUCAGCUCCGAUUUGAUUUCAUUUAAGAAUCUAUUCAUGUAUUCCCAUGCAAAAGAGACACCUGAUCAUAUACAAAUGAUAGUGAGAUGAGGGUGAAGUCCAGGCACCAAAAGAAAGUACUAUCCGGUGAAACACUUCCGUUUUCUCUGUGCUAUGGUUUUUGACCUUCUUCAAUUGGAUGAUGGCCUCCUCCUGCAUGACACCUGUGCUACAUGCUGCUUCCUGUAUGCUUGUGAGGAAGACUCCUUCCGCCACCUCUGUCACCUGAGCCGCCUCCUGUAUGCUUCUGAGGAAGCCUUCUGCCAUCUGUCACCUGACAGACCACCUCCUGCAGACCACCUGAACUAAAUUCAGUAUCUGCUGCUUCCUCUGCUGGAGCUGGGACUACGCUCUCCUUCACUCUCUUGUUCUCUCUUUCUCAUGUUAAACUCCUACGUCUUCUUCCCUAUCCUCUACUUAAAAAAUAGACAAUUCAAGACUUUAA